GAUUAGUUAAUUGCUUUCACCUGGUUCUCUCUCCACAAACCUGCAGCCCAUCUGCCUCCCAUCAUGCCCCAGUGUAUAUAAGCCCUGUCUCGUCUCAGUGUCUUGUCGGUCCAUUGUUUGUGUUAGCGUUGUUUUUGUGCUCUAUGUGAGCUUUGGGUGUCCUGGGUUUUAGGACUUUUGGUUUUUGGCUUCCUGCCCUUUUUGGAUUUUUGUUCAUCAUCCUAAAUAAAGGAUUUACUUUUAAAAUGCUCCUGCCUCGUGUCAUCUGGGGUAUUCUGCAUCUUGGGCCCUAACCUCCUCCUGCUCUCAACGUGACAGCUGCUUGUUUUGAUGUAUAAUUUGUGGGUGUGCAUGCUGCCAUUUGAGCCACAUUAACGUCCGCGGAUGUCAUGCUUGCCUCUUACGCAACAGCUUUUUACUCUGAGCAGCCAUAGCUUUAUGCAAUUUGGCUUUCAGUUCCUCAAUUUCUGUCUUCUGUUCCGUGAUCGUUUUCAUAAAAUUCUGGCUUUCUAACUCCAGGUUGAAACGACCAACAGUAUAUUUAUUCUUGUCUUUUUCAUUCAUACCAUUUAGCAGCGUUUUCACGUGCAUUGCUACUGAUGUCAAGCCAUUUUUAGAGAAUUCUUCAGCUAGCUGGUCAAGUUUUCCCUGAACUUCCAUUUUCUCUCUGGGUAACAGUUUGAUUUCAGAUUCAAGUUCCUGAGUUUUCUUUGUUAAAUCGCUAAUUUCGUCUUUUGCGUUCUGUAGUUCUGUCGCUGUUAUUUCAAGCUCCUUGGUAAUUUGCUCAUUCUCCAUUUCUUUAGUUGCUAAGAUGCUUGACUGUUGGGCAUCUUUAUUCCGAGCUGACGACAGUUGCUCCUCUGUGUUUUCUAACUGCAUCUUAACUUCCUUCAGCUGGCAAGACAGGGACGAUGUCGCCUUGACUAAAGACUCUUUCUCUGUUGAAAGCAGUGCGUUGGCAUCUAAAUGAGCCCAACAAUGGCAUCCGCUACAAGAUGUUCAGUGGGAGGAUCCUCCACCAGAGGGUAAUUGUGAGGCAAGAGGAGCUGAGAGGGAACCAGCUAAACUACAGGUAGCCCUAACCCAGGUCCAAAUGAGGACUUAACAAGCUCAAACAAGAGAUGGCCAAGCUGAGUGAGAUUACGUCCUUUUACAUAACUGUCAUAAAUGACAUAUAAGCUUGUAAAGAGUGAACAGGAAUGUUUUUACUGUUCCUUUUAUAUUGUUUUUAGGAGGACAUUUAGCUAAAGUGGCUGCAGUACUUCCUCUGAACUGCACGGCGCUAAAGAGUCACACUUUUUAUGAUGAUUUUAAUGGAUUUCACACACGUGGCUUUAAAGUCUCUGGUGUGACCCGACUGGGAUUUGACCAGAGCCGGAUUAACGCAAAGGCAAAGUAGGCACGUGCCUAGGGCCUGAUUGGCUGGAUGGGGCCCAGACAGAGGGACAAAAUAAAAAAUUAAUUAAUUUAAAAUUAAAUGUACAAAUCUCCUAUGAUAUAAUUUGUGGAUAGGACUCCUAUCUACAGUUUAUUUCAAUAUUUAUUAAUUAACUAAAAAUAGUGAUA
rnacentral:lncRNA from 1 species